GUCCUUUUGAAUUUAAUUUAAGGUCUAACCUGCCCACUGAAUUUUAAAUGGCCGCAGUAAUUUGACUGUGCAAAGGUAGCAUAAUAAUUAGUUUUUUAAUUUAAAGCUUGUAUGAAGGGUUGGACGAAAUAAAAUCUGUCUCUAUUUAAUUAAAUUUAGAAUUUAACUUUUAAGUUAAAAGGCUUAAAUAUUAUUAAAAGACGAGAAGACCCUAUAGAUCUUUAUAUUUUUUAUAUUAAUUUUAAUUAAGAAUUUUUAAUGUUUUAUUAUUCAAAGUAUUUUAUUGGGGUAAUAUAAAGAUUUAAAUAAUUCUUUUUUAUUUAAACAUUAAUUUAUGAUUUUAAUGAUCCAAUUUUAUUGAUUAUAAGAUUAAGUUACCUUAGGGAUAACAGCGUAAUUUUUUUAAAGAGUUCUUAUCGAUAAAAAAGUUUGCGACCUCGAUGUUGGAUUAAAGAUUAUUUUAGGUGUAGAAGCUUGAAAAUUUUGGUCUGUUCGACCAUUAAAUCUUUACAUGAUCUGAGUUCAGACCGGCGUAAGCCAGGUCGGUUUCUAUCUUUAAUAAAUUAAAAUAUUUUAGUACGAAAGGACCAAUUAUUUAAUAUAUUUAUAUUUAAUUUUUGAAUAUCAUUAA
rnacentral:rRNA from 1 species